rnacentral:lncRNA from 1 species
CUUUGAGAUAUUUUACCUUAUUCUAUAAAUAUCUGCAAAAACGCAAAGUCCGUCUAAUCCCUUUAAUAUACAUCAAAUUAGGGAAGAUGAAACGGUUCAGCGAGGUGAUUAUUGUCAUACUCAUAUUACUUGGUUUUACCUUAAUUGAAGGAAGAACAAUAUUUCCAGGUAUCUACGCGGCUUUACCUUUUCUUUUUUAUAUAUAUAUAUAUAUUUUUAAAUAAAAUACAGAACAUGGUCGUUCGUUUUGAAGAAGUUUCAAUUUAUGAUUUCGUUAUUUUCCUCGGUGUGAUUUUCUAAAAUGUAUUCAUAUGAAAUUGUCAAACUAAGUAAAUAUUUACAAAUUUAAUUACAAAUAAAAAUGUCAAUGACUUGGUAAUAGGCAUGGAUACUAGCUAGACCAAUAGAACCUAUCGUUUUAUUUCAUUAAACAAAGUCUGAGUGUUAGGUGAUUAACUAAACUAAGAAAAAAAUAUUGGGGGUGAUAGCCCCCACCCCCACUCUACCCUAACUUAGCUUAGAUCUCGGCAAAAAAUAAAGAGAAAAUUAGGUAAUAGUUUCUUGGUAUAUCAGUGUUAGUGGCAAGAGAGUACGUAAUAAGUUAAGUUAUUUUUUGAGUAUGAAUUAUUUUGCCGCCGUAUUUAGAUUGAGUUUAUCGCGUAGACUAUAAUUAUGUUUGGUGUUGUUUACAUCUUUUAUGUGGUUUGCAAAUUAUUACACGAAGGUAAAAGUUACGUAGUAUACUAAUUGUAUAGCUUAUGCCUUAUUGUUGGUUCUUAAUUAUAUAAGAAUAAAAAAAUAAUGUCAUUGUUUUCUAAUAUUUUUUCUUAUAUAUUGCAACUAUUAGAUUCUAGGUCAAAUGAACUACUGGCUACAAUUCUCAAACUAAAGCCGCCAAGUCCUCCGCCACCGCCGCCACGACCGCCGAUCCCAAUUCGUCCAUGAAAAUAGCGAAGCUCCACUUCUACCGUUUCUUUCAUUUUUCAAAUUAAAAUUCUGAAAUAGAAAAGUAUUUUAAAGAAUAAAUUUUGUAAUCAUUGCAUGGGGUGACCCCGCAAAUGUUUUUCAUCUAGUCUAGGAAUGGAAAGUGGACGGAUUUUUCGAAUUCAGGGGAUUUGAUUCGGAAACUUUCAAUAUUUAAACAAUUAGAAAUUUCACAGGUGCGAUGCACGGAAAAUAUGUAUUCAUAACCGAUGUUGAAUGAUAUACUUAUUUCCAAUUAAUAAUAUUUCAAAGGUGUAAUUGCUGGACCAAAUCAAAAAAAAAAAUUCUUUUCAAAAAAUAUUACUAUCAAGAGAAAGAGGAAAAUUUGCCAAAACCACUUACCAUUAAGAUUGGUAAAGAAGUAGAAAAAUAACUUGGC